UACAGAGGGGGCAAGCGUUGUUCGGAAUUACUGGGCGUAAAGGGCGCGUAGGCGGCCUUCUAAGUCGAACGUGAAAUCCCCGGGCUCAACCCGGGAACUGCGUCCGAUACUGGAAGGCUUGAAUCCGGGAGAGGGAUGUGGAAUUCUAGGUGUAGCGGUGAAAUGCGUAGAUAUCUGGAGGAACACCGGUGGCGAAGGCGACAUCCUGGACCGGUAUUGACGCUGAGGCGCGAAAGCCAGGGGAGCAAACGGG
rnacentral:rRNA from 1 species